AAAAUCAAAUCAGAUAUUUUUUUCCUUACAGGUGAAAAUGUCUGCUGUCUAUUGAGUUCUUUUGUAUGUGUAAUGGGUACCUCCUAACAAUGAACUUGAUUUGUCAACAUAAACUGGAUUUCUAAACUGUACUAAAUAUAAAAUGUCCCCAAUAUUUUUGUUCAUGUAUAGAAACUUUUCUAUAUGUGAUCUACAUAAUAAGACAUGUUUCUUAUUUAUUUGCCUCUGACAGAAAACUGGCCUGAAAAACUGAAAGAACCUUCAAUUUGGGAGACAAGCUCAAGCAUGAACAAGUCAUAAUGAUCACACUAUUUUUGGAUGUGUCAUCUGGAAGCUUUCCCAGAAUUAGCUGAAAGAGCAUGAAAGCAAGAAAAAGUGUGGCGACUUUGGGAAGAACCAAGUUAUAAGGAAAUGAAGACCUACUCUGGAGUGAUGACAGUGAAAAGAAUGGAAUAAGCCUGAGAGAAAGUACAAAAGAAUUAGUGAGACUCAAUUACUGAUGGAGCUAGAGAUGAGGAAGGACUUGAUGAACCUAUGUAUGUAUUUCCUCAUCCAUUACAAUAAAGAAAACGAAUUGUG